GGGCUCCGGGCGGCCGUGACCCUGCUGGAGUCCGGGGGGGACCUCCAGCCCCCCGGGGGGUCCCUGCGCCUCCUCUGCCGAGGACAAGGAUUUGAUUUUGGGAAAUUUGGGAUGUUCUGGAUCCGGCAGAGACCCGGGAAGGCGCUGGAAUGGGUCGCAGGGAUCAACACUGGUGGCGGCACGUUCUACGCGCCGUCCGUGAAGGGCCGGUUCACCAUCAGCAGGGACAACGGGCAGAGCUCGGUGACGCUGAGCAUGAACAACCUCCAGGACGAGGAUUCCGGGGUUUAUUUCUGUGCCAAAAAUUUUGAUGCUGGUGCUGGUGCUGGUGCUGGGCUUGGUGACGAUUCCGGUGGCCACCCCAAGCCCCCUUGA